rnacentral:rRNA from 1 species
AUAAUUUAGAUGGCCUUUGCUAGUUUUCUAGCGAAUGGUUCAUUCUUUUUUACUGUGAACUGUUUUAAUUUUUCAGCGUCUGAGGAAUGUCUUUUAGCCAUAGGGAUAGGCUACUAGAAUGUUAACCGAGCUGAAAGUCAGGCUUAGGCCUGGUAUCCUAUUAAUUAUUUACCAAAAGAAUUCAGUAUUAUAAUUGUAACAUAAGCGUAAAAAACUUAUAAAACAACUUUUAACAACGGAUCUCUUGGUUCUCGCAUCGAUGAAGAACGUAGCAAAGUGCGAUAACUAGUGUGAAUUGCAUAUUCAGUGAAUCAUCGAGUCUUUGAACGCAACUUGCGCUCAAUGGUAUUCCAUUGAGCACGCCUGUUUCAGUAUCAAAAACACCCCACAUUCAUAAUUUUGUUGUGAAUGGAAUUGAGAGUUUCGGCUUUAUUGCUGAAUUCUUUAAAAUUAUUAGGCCUGAACUAUUGUUCUUUCUGCCUGAACAUUUUUUUAAUAUAAAGGAAUGCUCUAGUAAAAAGACUAUCUCUGGGGCCUCCCAAAUAAAUCAUUCUUAAAUUUGAUCUGAAAUCAGGCGGGAUUACCCGCUGAACUUAAGCAUAUCAAUAA